rnacentral:rRNA from 1 species
UACGGAGGGUGCAAGCGUUGUCCGGAUUUAUUGGGCUUAAAGGGUGCGUAGGCGGCCCUGUAAGUCAGUGGUGAAAUUCUUGAGCUUAACUGAAGGAUUGCCAUUGAUACUGUAGGGCUUGAGUACAGAUGAGGUAGGCGGAAUUGAUGGUGUAGCGGUGAAAUGCAUAGAUACCAUCAAGAACACCGACUGCGAAGGCAGCUUACUAAGCUGUAACUGACGCUGAUGCACGAAAGCGUGGGGAUCGAACAGG